GCCUUUCAAUCACUCUGUGCUCCAUGGCCAUUGUCUUCUUACCUCAAGGCAGCCCGGUGACCCCAUCCCAGGUUGGGGAAGAAUCCUCGAGCCAGAGCUCAGCACUGCAUCCAGAGCCUCACGACAGGAGCUGUGCCUCGAGUGGAGACUUCUGCAACUGUGAUGAAAACAAGAUUAAAGAAGAAAUCAUUGGCAAUGCAGUGCUUCAACGACUGAACUGCUGACAUUUUUUGGUGGAUAUUAAGAAAAGACCUGCUGCC